AGGGAGAGUGGAACUGUCCUGGGAAAGCUGCACUCGAGAGGCCAGGAUUUCUUUCCCAGGCGACACAGGCCCAGCUCCAGCUCAGCCCUGCCCCGGAAGGACCGGGAGUUUAAAAGGCAGCAGCCCUCCACCUGGGGCCACACCCGGGAAGGCUGACUUCACCAGGGAACCCGUUGGACGGGACUGUCUGCAGCCUGGCGCCUCUCCCUCAGGGCCCCACCCAGCCCCCAGAAUGAGUGUGGGAGCCAGGGGGAAGAGGCUAGCGCCUCUCCUGCUGAGGCCAGCUAGGCCUGGGUCCCCCAGGGCCCGCCCCAGCCUGGGCUGGGUCUGAAGCAGCUGCUUCCUGCUUUGCCUUUUUCUUUCACUUUGGUUUUUAACCCCCGAGUGAAACUACAGACUGGGACGCUGCGGGAAAGACAGUGCGAGUUAAGACCCCGGAGGGUUGAAAACCUGGCUUCUAAUCCCGACAGAACCUCUCUCCUAUGAAACCCACAGCACAUCCUCAGCACCCAUCUGGGAGCAGUCGGCCCAUUCUCCUUACUCUGUGAUCAAGCACAUUUGUGACAGAGUAUUUGCCCAACAUUUGCCCAGAAGGACUUCAGAAUUACCAUGGAUCGGCUUGCUCUCUUGUGCUUCUGCCAUCACCAUGAGAAGAACAUGCCCUGGCUAGGCCACUGAUCCUAGGAGGACCCUUCAGUCCCAGGAGGAAGAUGAGAGACAAUAUGGAACACAGCUGUCCCAGCUGAUUCACAAACUUGGGAGCAAGAAAUAAAUGUUAACUGUUGUCUUA